GCUGCUGUAGCCCAGUUGGUAGAGGCGUCGCCAGUAGAUGGCGAAGGUCGCUGGUGCAAAUCGAGCUUGCGGUG